GUCGGGGCUGAGUGGUUUUUCGGAUCAUGUCUGGUGGCUCUGCAGAUUAUAACAGAGAACAUGGUGGCCCAGAGGGAAUGGACCCCAAUGGUGUCAUCGAGAGCAACUGGAAUGAGAUUGUUGAUAACUUUGAUGAUAUGAAUUUAAAAGAGUCUCUUCUUCGGGGCAUCUAGGCUUAUGGUUUUGAGAAGCCUUCAGCUAUUCAGCAGAGAGCUAUUAUUGCUUGUAUUAAAGAUCCAAAAGGUAAUUCUGGCACUUGGAGACUAUAUGGGAGCAACUUGUCAUGCUUGCAUUGGUGGAACGAAUGUUCGAAAUGAAAUGUAAAAACUUCAGGCUGAAGCACCACAUAUUGUAGUUGGUACAGCAGGGAGAGUGUUUGAUAUGUUAAACAGAAGAUACCUUUCUCCAAAAUGGAUCAAAAUGUUUGUUUUGGAUGAAGCAGAUGAAAUGUUGAGCCGAGGGUUUAAGGAUCAAAUCUAUGAGAUUUUCCAAAAAUUAAAUACAAGUAUUCAGGUUGUGUUGCUCUCUGCCACAAUGCCAACUGAUGUGUUGGAAGUGACCAAAAAAUUCAUGAGAGAUACAAUUCGAAUUCUGGUGAAAAAGGAAGAAUUGACUCUUGAAGGAAUCAGUUUUAUAUUAAUGUUGAAAGAGAGGAAUGGAAGUUGGAUUCACUUUGUGGCUUGUAUGAGACACUGACCAUUACACAGGCUGUUAUAUUUAUCAAUACAAGGCGCAAGGUGGAUUGGCUUACUGAGAAAAUUCACGCCAGAGACUUCACAGUGUCUGCUCUGCAUGGUGACAUGGACCAGAAGGAGAGAGAUGUUAUCAUGAGGGAAUUCCGAUCAGGGUCAAGCCGUGUUCUGAUCACUACUGACUUGUUGGCUCGUGGGAUUGAUGUGCAACAAGUGUCUUUGGUUAUAAACUAUGACCUACCUACCAAUCGUGAAAACUACAUUCAGAGAAUUGGCAGAGGGGGUCGAUUUGGGAGGAAAGGUGUGGCUAUAAACUUUAUUACUGAAGAAGACAAGAAGAUUCUUCAUGGCAUUAAGACUUUUUACAAUACUACUGUGGAGGAAAUGCCCAUGAAUGUAGCUGACCUUAUUUAA